AACGAACGCUGGCGGCAGGCUUAACACAUGCAAGUCGAGCGCCCCGCAAGGGGAGCGGCAGACGGGUGAGUAACGCGUGGGAAUCUACCGUGCCCUACGGAAUAACGCAUGGAAACGUGUGCUAAUACCGUAUACGCCCUACGGGGGAAAGAUUUAUCGGGGUAUGAUGAGCCCGCGUUGGAUUAGCUAGUUGGUGGGGUAAAGGCCUACCAAGGCGACGAUCCAUAGCUGGUCUGAGAGGAUGAUCAGCCACAUUGGGACUGAGACACGGCCCAAACUCCUACGGGAGGCAGCAGCGGGGAAUAUUGGACAAUGGGCGCAAGCCUGAUCCAGCCAUGCCGCGUGAGUGAUGAAGGUCUUAGGAUUGUAAAGCUCUUUCACCGGUGAAGAUAAUGACGGUAACCGGAGAAGAAGCCCCGACUAACUUCGUGCCAGCAGCCGCCGUAA
rnacentral:rRNA from 1 species